CGGGGGUCUUAUAAGUUAGUCCUGCUUCAAAGUUGUCGAGAUCUUUUUGAGGGUUUGGUAAGUUAGCCCUCAUGAGUGGCGUUGUAUACCUGCGAUGAUCUUGUGCCUACAGCAUCUACCCCUUCUCAUUUUCGUGUAAGAUGCAGUGUCUGCCAGCGGCGAGCUUGUGUCUACGGCAUCUUACACUCUUCAUGACACUCUGAGGUUCUA
rnacentral:lncRNA from 1 species